GAUGAACGCUGGCGGCGUGCCUAAUACAUGCAAGUCGAGCGAACAGACGAGGAGCUUGCUCCUCUGACGUUAGCGGCGGACGGGUGAGUAACACGUGGAUAACCUACCUAUCAGACUGGGAUAACUUCGGGAAACCGGAGCUAAUACCGGAUAAUAUAUUGGACCGCAUGGUUCAAUAGUGAAAGACGGGUUUGCUGUCACUUAUAGAUGGAUCCGCGCCGCAUUAGCUAGUUGGUAAGGUAACGGCUUACCAAGGCAACGAUGCGUAGCCGACCUGAGAGGGUGAUCGGCCACACUGGAACUGAGACACGGUCCAGACUCCUACGGGAGGCAGCAGUAGGGAAUCUUCCGCAAUGGGCGAAAGCUUGACGGAGCAACGCCGCGUGAGUGAUGAAGGUCUUCGGAUCGUAAAACUCUGUUAUUAGGGAAGAACAAAUGUGUAAGUAACUAUGCACGUCUUGACGGUACCUAAUCAGAAAGCCACGGCUAACUACGUG
rnacentral:rRNA from 1 species